GAUUGUGACUCAGGACGCCAUUGGUCUGCGGGGCGCGAUGCUUGCUGGGAGAUGUAGUCUCUUCUGCUCGGCUCUGUUGCUCAGGGCAACCGCUCCCUCAGGCCUGAAUGUGGCGGCUGCCUCUGCGAAUGGACCGCGUAGGAGGAGAAUGGCUUCUGCAAGGAAAGCCAGCUGUCCCAUGCGCGAUGUUUUUGGUGACUUCAGUGACACUUCCUUAGAAGAUUCAACAAUGGGAGAAAUCAGAAACUUCCAGAUCAGUAGAAAUCUUACCAAAAUAGCACCUGGUCAUAGCAGAUUUCUAAAAAGAAACCAAACUCUAGGUGAGAAACACUUACUCUUGAAAGAGAACCCUGUACUGGGGAGUGGACCCAGCCUUGCCUCAAGUAGACCGUCCACCACUGCCUCCAGGAUCCGAGCCAAUGCCGCACUCAUGAAGCUGGCCCAGCUGGAAACCCGGAUCAUGAAUCGGAAGCUGCAGAGGAAUUUGUCUGACACAGAAUCUGACUCAGUGACCACCAAUGCCAGUCUUCCAAAGAGAGCUGACAGAAUCCUCUCCGGGGGUGCAAUCGAACUUGCAUCCCAGAACACAGACAAAACUUCCCAGAAUCAAGCCCAUGAACUUCCUGUCACCGAAAAUAAUGCACAGAACACAAAGGUCAGUAGGUUUCUAAAGAAGAAGCAAUCAUCUGUUGAAAACAUAUCCCCUGAAGCACCUGUUAGGAAAGAGAGGACUUUGCAAACCCCCAAACAGAAAGAACCUGCUGGAACAUUUGAUUCUCCAGACAGUGACGAAGAAGAAAUGAAAGUAUUGCUAGGAAGCUUGAUGGACUCUUCUAGAGAAAAAAAGACGAGUCAAGGCUUCAGCAGUGUUAACGUCAGUGAGGAAGAAGAAAGAAAACUAUUUUCGGUCCCAUCUCAGCCCAGAGCAUUUACUGUACCCAAUGUGGAACUCUCCAGCGCAAAGCCAUCUCAGACAUCACACCUGCCAACCUCCCUGGCAGCAGAGAGAACCCUUCACAGCGCUGGCUCAAGAGCAGACUCCCCACAGAGUCACGUUUCCGGUGACACCACCUCCCACACGCCAUCAGUUUCCAUCACAGGCGCCUUUUCAAAAUCAGCGCCUUUAAGAAUGGGGCACGUCAAGCUUGCGUCCUCCCCUGGAAGGAGUGAGGCUGAGCCAGUGGAUGAACCGGUCUCAGAAGGUGCUGAUAACAGCCUUGACGAGUUUAGAAUAAAUAUUUUAUCGCUUGACGAUCUGUCUCCAGUUGUCAGUGAGAACUCCGAUUUGGAACAGGAAGAGGAAAGUGCUCAGAGAGAGAAAACAGCUGGCAAAAUCUUCAGAGCUGAGGUGUCCACUGGGCCGGAUGCCCCCAGGCAGGCCCAGGCGAGGAGCUGGGCAUCACAGGGAAAGGCCGCCUCUGCAGAGGGGGAUGAGAGCGAGGUCUCGGAGCAUCUCAGUGCCAGCUCGGCUCCUGCCAUCCAGCAGGACAGCAUUUCCAGCAUGCAGCCACCAUCUGAAGCCCCCAUGGUGAACACAGUCAGCUCAGCUUAUUCUGAGGAUUUUGAAAUCUCUCCAAGUCUGACGGCAUCCGAGCCAACCGCCUGUUCCAAGGAGUCUCUUGACAGAACACUGGACGCUCUGUCUGAAUCCUCUUCAAGUGUGAAGACAGACCUUCCACAAAUAGCCGAGUCUAGGAAAAAGUCGGGCAGGCACAUGACAAGGGUGCUUGUGAAGGACACAGCUGUGCAGACGCCAGACCCCACCUUCACCUACGAGUGGACCAAGGUGGCCGGAAUGGCAGCCAUGGGGCCUGCCCUGGGAGGUGCCUACGUGGACCCGACACCCAUCGCCAAUCAUGUUAUCAGUGCGGAUGCAAUAGAAGCCCUGACCGCCUACAGCCCGGCUGUGCUGGCGCUCCAUGAUGUGCUGAAGCAGCAGCUGAGCCUGACGCAGCAGUUCAUCCAGGCCAGCCGGCACCUGCACGCCUCCCUCCUGCGCUCCCUGGACGCGGACUCCUUCCAAUACCACACCCUGGAGGAAGCCAAAGAGAUCCAAAGUCCAUACUACCUGAUGUGUCCUUUGAGCCUCUUAAAUCUAGAGCAGCGACCGGUUCUCAGCAUUGAGUGGUUGGGGAUCCUCAGGAAGCCCCAUGAAAGCGACGCUGGGCCUGCAAGCAGGCUGGGCUUUUCUCCCAUGUGCCUCGGGGACGCCGCUUUGGAACUGCGCCCUCGGGGUCCCCUGCACGCCAGGCGUCUCGUUUCCCUGUGGUUUAUCUGCUGAAGAGGGCAGGCUUGUGAGUCCCAUGGGUCUCUACAAUCUCAACUUUGCUCAUUGCACCCCUCUGGAGGCUUUGAACUCAUGCCUCUGUCGGGCGUCCAUCAGCCAGUCCGAUGCAGGCAGAAGCCAUCUGACUGUGCCACCUGGCUGCAGCCCACCAUAGCUCCCAGCUGCCUGCUCCAGGCGCUUCUCCCUGACCUCAGCCGCUCCAAGGGCACCCACAGGCACCCCUCCUUUUCUCUGUCAGGGCUCACCCCUCGCAGGGCUGACCUCGGUGUCCCCCUACCCUCAGUGUUUCUACAGCCCUAUGUGUCAACCUGUCACACACAUCCUGUGGUUUUACGCUUCUGUCACCUGACAGGAGCCUGCUGGGGACAGGUGCCGGCUCCACUCCCUCCUCCAGCACCCUGUCUCAGAGUGUGCUGAGGUGACGAUGGUGACGGCGUGGUCUGUCCUCUGCCUGACAGUACAUUAGGCGCCACAGACCUGCCCCGCUGACCAUGGAGGACGCCCUGGAGGAGGUGAACAAGGAGAUGUGAGCACCAGCAGGUGGAGCGUGAUGUGACAUCUAACAAAAGCAAAGCACUGCAGCAUCUCAGCGUUACCAGUGCAGCAGUUAAGACAGGAUCUUACGGCGGGGUGGGGCUCCUGGACCGUGACCGGCGUCUUCUUCCUGGGGAGUACGACUUGGACCGGGACCGUGACUGGGACCGGGAGCGGCUUCUGGAGGAGCGCGACCUGCUCCGACUUCUGCAGGGAAGGGUGCCCAACGGUCAGCAGCAGCCAGGCGUCACGGGGAGGCACUGCCCUCCUGCGGCAGCCUCUGCCUACCUGGAUCUGGAGCGGGAGUAGGAGCGGGAGCAGGAGCGCGACCUUGACCUUGAGUACGAGCCUGAAGACUUGGAGGAUCUUGAGUUGGAGCGGGAGGAAGAACGCCCUCGACUCUUGGAUCUGCUCCGAGACCUCGAGGGUCCACUGUGGGAGAGGCCUGAUGAUCAGGUGCCCCUGUGGCAGCCCACCCUGGCCCUCAGGUUCCUGGACGACCCCAGGUGCAGGGGUGUGGCUGUGGAUGUGGUGCCCCGGCCACACAGCGGCAUCAAGUUCCUAAACAGUGGGGCCGAGCCUGCUGCUGUGCGAAUUCAGGCCGUGUGGAAAACACCGCCCCACAGGCACGGGUUGUGUGAGGGUGGACGUGCUGAGCGCGUCUGGGGUCUGCUCUAAGCCCUCCCAUCGCAAGCUGUGCGCCCUGGCCGCCCGGCCACUGCAGACGUCUGUGCUUUACCUGUUCCUCUUCUCCUGGCCUUUCCUCCGCCGGGCCCGCAUUUUUGCUCGGAAGAACUCAUAGAGGCCGUUCUGCUCCCAGCCUUCGCUGUAAGACACGGCAUUCCCUGUGUGACCACGUGACGCCCACUCACAAGGAACUCGUGGAAAAGUCAUCAGGCGUUAAUCCACAGAACCUUGGAGAGUACAUGGCCCUGUGGCUGUGGGCUCCGAGCAUGGGUGCAGUGGACCUCGGCUCAGCGUUCCCACGGGGCUGUCCUCCUGCAGCCCAGUGGCUCCUCUGGUGCCCACGCCCUUGCCACCCUGCUGUUCCACUGAGGUGGUGGGGACUCAUGGUCUGUGGAACUGGGGAACAGGAACACUGACUCAUGGGUGGACAGGCCUGCAGCCCGGCACAGAAAGAAGGGGUGACCACUGGGAAGGGUGGGCUGACGGCCCUGUGGCGGCCGGCUGCUUGAGACGUGCCGCCAUACCACACCUUCCUUAAGUUCUUCUGAUGUGUCUCCAUUAAAAUACCCUCCACUGAGGGCCACGUGUGUGCUGUG